CCUUUCAUGGUAGUUGAGCUGAUUUUUUUGGGGUGGGCUGAGUUACUCAUUUUUUUUAAUUGGUCAUCAAUGUGCUUUACUACUUUUGCAUUAUGAUUAUACUACGUGAAUUAUCUGUCUUUUAUAUUCUGUAUGAACUCUAUGUUCCCCCUUUGUUAUUCUUCUUUCAAGGGAGGUGCUGCCGGAUUUUGCAAUAUUUUCUGUCUUUAUUUCAUUUCUUGUGUUGCAUAAGUUUAGUGGGAGGGGUAUUUGGUAACAUCCAUUGUGUGGGAUUAGUGGGGGUGUUACAGGUAACUCAAGGGUUAUUGCACCUUUUAUUUUUCACCAGGGACAGGGCUGUAUUUUUCAUGAAAUAUAUUGUUAUAUUUAAGAGUAUAUUGUGCAAAAUGACUAAUUUAUAUUUAUUAUUAGUAUAUAUGGUAGAAUACUUCUAAAAAUAAAUUUUAUAAAUAUGUGUAUACUUUUUACUCUUUAGUUCGAUGUGACAUAUACUAAACGUUAGCCCAUAUAACCAAACAUAUUUUACUCUUUCCCCUCCUAUACAAAGAGGCAUCAACCCUCCUUUUGAGUAUACACUUUUACAAGUCACUUAUACAAAUAGUAUGAUUAGCAGUUAAGCUCGUACAAGCGACAAAAGUAGGAUCUGGAACAGUUUUGAGCCAGAUAAUUUCUCUCGUGGAAACCGCCCAGAUGUCUAAGGCUCCUAUUCAGAUGUUUGCUGAUUUUGUAAGUACACUUCUCAAUUCCUUAGCUUAUAAAAAUAAUCUCUUAACUCUAUAUUAUAAUCUUAAAUCUGCAAAGCAUUGAUUUGGGCAACUUAAAUCCGCUAUGUUUCUAUUAUUGUUAAAAUGUUCACUCUACCUUUUCUAUUUAGCAUUUCUUGUAGAGAAAAUUAAAUCCUUUAUUGCAAAUUCUAUACAUUUGUUUGCGUUCCUGAUUACCUGGCAUGACCUGGUUGAUUUUUUCUUCCUUUUUCAAAUUCUUAUAUAACACCUUUCUUACAGCCAUAGUAUCUUUUUGUUAAAAAAUCUUGGAUAUACCAGAGUACACAUGACAUAAUUGCAUACACCUUUUUCUCUAUUAUGAAUACCUAUAAUUGCAUGCACCUUCUUACUGGUGUUACAACAUUUCAGGUAGCCAGCAUUUUUGUUCCUAUUGUCAUCACACUGUCCUUCUUGACAUUCCUUGCAUGGUUUCUAGGAGCAUAUCCAAACUCAUGGUCUGCUGAAAGUAGCAAUUGUUUUGUUUUCUCCCUCAUGUUCUCCAUAUCUUAUAUGUCUUAUUAUGAUUAUGGAUAAUACUUUUGUGAUGUAAUUGAUGAGACUAUGGAUUUAAAUAUUGUUAUGUGAUUAUGUGUGAGAUGUUUUAUGUGAAAA